rnacentral:rRNA from 1 species
UACGAAGGGUGCAAGCGUUAAUCGGAAUUACUGGGCGUAAAGCGCGCGUAGGUGGUUCGUUAAGUUGGAUGUGAAAGCCCCGGGCUCAACCUGGGAGCUGCAUCCAAAACUGGCGAGCUAGAGUAUGGCAGAGGGUGGUGGAAUUUCCUGUGUAGCGGUGAAAUGCGUAGAUAUAGGAAGGAACACCAGUGGCGAAGGCGACCAUCUGGGCUAAUACUGACACUGAGGUGCGAAAGCGUGGGGAGCAAACAGG